rnacentral:rRNA from 1 species
GAUGAACGCUGGCGGCGUGCCUAAUACAUGCAAGUCGAGCGAACGGACGAGAAGCUUGCUUUUCUGAUGUUAGCGGCGGAAGGGUGAGUAACACGUGGAUAACCUACCUAUAAGACUGGGAUACCUUCGGGAAACCGGAGCUAAUACCGGAUAAUAUUUUGAACCGCAUGGUUCAAAAGUGAAAGACGGUAUUGCUGUCACUUAUAGAUUGAUCCGCGCUGCAUUAGCUAGUUGGUAAGGUAACGGCUUACCAAGGCAACGAUGCAUAGCCGACCUGAGAGGGUGAGCGGCCACACUGGAACUGAGACAGGGUACAGACUCCUACGGGAGGCAGCAGUAGGGAAUCUUCCGCAAUGGGCGAGAGCCUGACGGAGCAACGCCGCGUGAGUGAUGAAGGUCUUCGGAUCGUAAAACUCUGUUAUUAGGGAAGAACAUAUGUGUAAGUAACUGUGCACAUCUUGACGGUACCUAAUCAGAAAGCCACGGCUAACUACGUG